rnacentral:rRNA from 1 species
CCUACGGGAGGCAGCAGUGAGGAAUAUUGGUCAAUGGGCGGGAGCCUGAACCAGCCAAGUCGCGUGAGGGAAGACGGUCCUAUGGAUUGUAAACCUCUUUAGGCGGGGAGCAAUGCCGGGCACGCGUGCCCGGAGGGAGAGUACCCGCAGAAUAAGCAUCGGCUAACUCCGUGCCAGCAGCCGCGGUAAUACGGAGGAUGCGAGCGUUAUCCGGAUUUAUUGGGUUUAAAGGGUGCGUAGGCGGAUUUUUAAGUCAGCGGUAAAAUGUCCGGGCUCAACCCGGGCCGGCCGUUGAAACUGGGGAUCUUGAGUGGGCGAGAAGUAUGCGGAAUGCGUGGUGUAGCGGUGAAAUGCAUAGAUAUCAGGAGGAACACCGGUGGCGAAGGCGGCUUACUGGACAGUGACUGACGUUGAGGCUCGAAAGCGUGGGGAGCGAACAGGAUUAGAUACCCCAGUAGUC